GAUGAACGCUGGCGGCGUGCCUAAUACAUGCAAGUCGAGCGAACAGACGAGGCGCUUGCUCCUCUGACGUUAGCGGCGGACGGGUGAGUAACACGUGGAUAACCUACCUAUAAGACUGGUAUAACUUCGGGAAACCGGCGCUAAUACCGUAUAAUAUAUUGAACCGCAUGGUUCAAUAGUGAAAGACGGUUUUGCUGUCACUUAUCGAUGGAUCCGCGCCGCAUUAGCUAGUUGUUAAGGUAACGGCUUACCACGGCAACGAUGCGUAGCCGACCUGAGAGGGUGAUCGGCCACACGGGAACGGAGACACGGUCCUGACGCCUAAGGGAGGCAGCAGUAGGGAAUCUUCCGCAAUGGGCGAAAGCAUGACGGAGCAACGCCGCGUGAGUGAUGAAGGUGUUCGGAUCGUAAAACUCUGUUAUUAGGGAAGAACAAAUGUGGAAGUAACUAUGCACGGCUUGACGGUACCUAAUCAGAAAGCCACGGCUAACUACGUG
rnacentral:rRNA from 1 species